GAAAAUGCCAGAAAACCAGAACAGCAUUAUUCUGGAAGCUUGCACUCAGAUGGAGUAUAUGACCUAAGAAUAAAGUGUUCUUCAGGCGCAACAGACCAUUGCAACGCAGCAUCCACAGGUGGAAAGAGGAGGAUUCCAGUUGGAGGUCAUCUGAGCACAGAGUAAGAUCAGAGAAACCAUGCCGCAGAAGAGGAAAGCAGGACAAUGCAAAAUAGUUCAAAAUGACAGCACUAUGGUACUACAAAAUAUCUUGAGGACUAUAAAGGAAAGAAAACUGAAGAGCUGUGUGACAGAAUGUGAGCCACAGAAUGCAAGGAUGAGGAAAUGAGAGCUUGAAGUGUAUGCUGAAAAUCCAGAUGCAGGUAAGCAGUCUGUGAACACACAUUGGAUAAGAAAAAGUAAAAGAAUUAACUGGCA